CCUAUCUAUGACUUUUGAUGUCACAAGAUGGUGAUUCCACAUGGUAAACAGAUGGCGGGGGAGCAGCGUGCAGCUUGCUCUGCCAUGAACGCUGCACAACCCAGCAGCAGCCCCGCCGACAGCAGGUAGAAGUACAGCUGCAGGUGCUCCAGAGACAGCGGGGACAGGUCGCCGCCCGCCUCGGAGAAGCGCUGCACCGCCGACUGCACCACGAUGUCCUUGGAGACCUUGUCGGUCAGGCCGUUGUCGUGCAGGUGCAUGAUGUACCUGUUGAGGUUCUCGGUGAAGGGGAAGUGACGCCGCGUGCGGAACGUCAUCAGCAGGGCCAUGACGCUGACCGACAUGCGGUGGACCAGCGGCCGGUUGCCGUCCAGGUUGUCGGGGUUGUUGACGUCGUGGAGGCUGGUCAGGCCGGCGGUCAGCAUGGCGAUGCUGCGGUCUCUCUUCAGCAUGUCCACGCCCAGGUCGUAGCUGUCCACCAGGAUCACCCUCAGCCCGAUGUGGUAGCUCAAGUCGUCGUUGGGGUCGGCCCCGACUAUCACGUGACUCAUGCUGAGGGAGUCGUUGGACGAAAAGCUCAUUGGGAUUGCAAUUUUCAAGUUACUUUUGAAAACAUCAUCAAAUGUUUCGAAAUCCUUGAAAUAUUGGGGAACUGUUAUGUAGCUGGAGAACGAUCCUGAAUAUGCAUUGUUGAAUAUAAUGUUGAAUAUAACGGUCGCAGUGAAGUACAGUCGCAACGAAGUGCUGUUGAGCGGCUGCUGGGAUGCGCCCACCAUGAGAAGUCUAAAAGUUUCCAAGACUCUGAAGUUGGGCACAUUGGCGGCAAUUAUGACACUGAACAGCAACUUACAUCCGAAACAAAGAGCUGCGACGAAAAUAGCAUACGCCAACCAAGUGCCUUGGGUGAAUGGAAGAAAGGCAUUCAUCCACAUCGGCAUUUGACGUGCCUUUGGUGCGAUCACAGUGACUCGGUCGUAGUAAAAUGGGUACGAAGUGACGGCAAGGAACUCUGGACUGAAUAAUACAUAUCCAUUGCCGUUAUAACCUGGCUCCGCCAUAUAGUUGUCUGGAAUAGACCAUUGCGUCAUAUUCGGGAUGGAUUUCUUGUUGAACACCAAGGUAUAAUUAGACCAAUGGCAAAAUCCUUUAGCUGAUUGGUAAAGUGCUCCGGAAUAUUCUAUAUGUCCUUCAGAGUUUACUUUCUUCACAAAGUAUGGGGGCCGGUGAGUUAUAGCGACGUAGAGGGGAAAACCAUUAGUGUCUGCUAGUUUAUCAUAAAAAACAUUACUAUGUGUACUUCUGAUGAGCUUUGAGAUAUCUUUUAUUUCACCCCCAUUCCUAAAAGGAUCGAACGUCAACAAAACUGCUUGGCUGGGUGUAGAAUUUUUAUAUGAAUUCCGAUUUAGUAGCGCUAUGCAGUUAAGAAUUUCAAAUUUUUCCCAAGCUGCUCGAAGGAACAUUGCAAUUUCUUUUAAACUGUCACUGGCAUGCCUCAUCAGUACAAUCAAGAAAAGAUGUUUUGUUUCCCAGAUUUCAGACUUAGAAAGAGUGGUCAGAUAAUCGAUCAACACAGUGUAGUUGUCGCUAUCAUUAAUUAUAACAAAACACACUGUACCAAACAUGACAUUAUUUAAAUAUGAAGUUCCGUUUGUAAAUCCCGUACUGAAAUUACUAUCUACAGUAAAGUUAUUUCCAUUGCUUGUAGUCCAAGUGGCACAGUUAGUAGUGUGAACCGGUACACGUGACGAAGCCUGCAUCGCACCCAUCAUCUCGUCGGGAGAACUAGAGAGAUAGCUGUCUUCUAGAAUGACGAGUAUGUUUCUGACCUUAUGGUGUAAAUGGUUUUCCGUCAGUAAAGAAAGUGUUGGGACUAACGGCUCUCUACCUCCUAUUUCUCGUACACCUUUGAAGAUUGUCCUUGAAGCAUGGCACAGUCCAAAAAAUAAAAACACAGGAAGUGUUGCCACCAACUUCGUGCGCAUCUCUUUCUGAAACAGAACAUAAAUUUGAUUUCAAUUGUAAUAAUUUGAUAUUAUUUUAAGUCGCAUACAUUUUUAAAAAAAAAAAAAUAUAUAUAUUUUUUAGUUUGGUCUUUAUUUAACAAUAUUAUAAAUAAAAACAUUAUUUUAAAUUACA